AGCAAACCCAGAGCACCCGGAAGAGCCCACUCUACGUCCAAGCUUUAGUCGAAGUUCCACUCUACCCGUCAGCGUCGCCUCGUUUUUGCGUUGCUUCAAGUUCUUAAGACUUUAACGCGACUUUAAAUACAUUUUUGUUCUGUCCCAUACAUCAUCGUUUUUGCCUGCUGCUUGUAAAUUCACAAUGUGGCGCACAUUUCGAUUGAUUCUGCUGCUGUGGCCGUGGCUCGUCAUCCUGCUGCCGUCAUUGUGCCACACACGUAAGCGACAGUCUGAGCCCAGAGCAUUUGGCAUUGAUAAUGCUUAGAUCGGAAUAAGAGCACUCCUUCUCUGUGUCCAUUGUAGAGCCCAGCUGCCAGACGCCAGAGAAGACUGCCGGCCAGUGUGUGCAUUUCAGCGCCUGUCGCUUUGUCCUGCGCGAAUAUGCAAUGUACAAGGAGCAUAUGCCGCCCGUGGUAAUGCGCUUCCUGCAGAGAUCCCGCUGCAGGCCCAAGCGUGACGGCGUAAGUUGGAAAAGCCAUUAGGCGCGGGGUUGAUGGCUCUCGAAUAAAACUGUCUGGGGAAGCAGCAAUAGCAAUGGAAUGGCUCUAAUUCUAAUGAAAUGUUCUCCUGCCUCUCUGUUUUUGUUUCUCACAUGGCAUUGUGUGUGGCAUGCGGCAUGCGGCAACAACAACAACAUCAACACGGACAACAAAGUAUCAUUUGUGCUGCGAACUCAAAGAUGUGAUUCCCGCGAAUGCCAACUCAAAGCUGAAGUAAAUCAACUUCAAAGUACAUCAUGUGUGUGGCACACACACACACACGUACGGUACAUGUGGGUGUAUUUGUGUGUGCUUUGAUCUGCCUGGAUUGUGUGGCCCCCCGAAAAUGUUAUGGUUAUGCGGCUGCGUCUGUAAUUAUAAUGUGUACCCGAAUUAUGUAUUAAGUGCACGCACCGUCUACGUCUACGUCUACGUCUCGUAAGGCCGGCAGCAGAUGCUGAGACACAAUAAAAAAUGAAAAGUUUAGCUCUAAUCUUGGUAACUGCAGCCAGCGAGGGCAGUUCUGCGACUUUAUCAGC
rnacentral:lncRNA from 1 species